UACGUAGGUGGCAAGCGUUGUCCGGAUUUAUUGGGCGUAAAGCGAGCGCAGGCGGUUCCUUAAGUCUGAUGUGAAAGCCCACGGCUCAACCGUGGAAGGUCAUUGGAAACUGGGGAACUUGAGUGCAGAAGAGGAGAGUGGAAUUCCAUGUGUAGCGGUGAAAUGCGUAGAUAUAUGGAGGAACACCAGUGGCGAAGGCGACUCUCUGGUCUGUAACUGACGCUGAGACUCGAAAGCGUGGGGAGCAAACAGGAUUAGA
rnacentral:rRNA from 1 species